rnacentral:rRNA from 1 species
AUACGUAGGGGGCGAGCGUUGUCCGGAAUUACUGGGCGUAAAGGGUGCGUAGGCGGCGAUGCAAGUCCAUUGUGAAAAGCCCGGGCUUAACCUGGGAGGUGCAGUGGAAACUGCAUGGCUUGAGUGCAGGAGAGGAAAGUGGAAUUCCUAGUGUAACGGUGAAAUGCGUAGAUAUUAGGAGGAACACCAGUGGCGAAGGCGGCUUUCUGGACUGUAACUGACGCUGAGGCACGAAAGCGUGGGGAGCAAACAGGAUUAGAUACCCUGGUAGUCCACGCCGUAAACGAUGGAUACUAGGUGUAGGGGGUAUCGACCCCCCCUGUGCCGAAGUUAACACAUUAAGUAUCCCGCCUGGGGAGUACGGCCGCAAGGUUGAA